rnacentral:rRNA from 1 species
AGUGGCAGACGGGUGAGUAACAUGUGGGUAUCUACCCUUUGGCCUGGAAUAACACGAGGAAACUUGUGCUAAUACCGGAUAAGUCUUUACGGAGAAAGCUUUAUGCACCAUUGGAUGAGCCCGCACUUGAUUAGUUUGUUGGUAGGGUAAUGGCCUACCAAGACUAUGAUCAAUAGCUGAUUUGAGAGGAUGAUCAGCCACAUUGGGACUGAGACACGGCCCAAACUCCUACGGGAGGCAGCAGUGGGGAAUCUUGCACAAUGGAGGAAACUCUGAUGCAGCGAUGCCGCGUGAGUGAAGAAGGCCUUUGGGUUGUAAAGCUCUUUCGUCGGGGAAGAAAAUGACUGUACCCGAAUAAGAAGGUCCGGCUAACUUCGUGCCAGCAGCCGCGGUAAUACGAAGGGACCUAGCGUAGUUCGGAAUUACUGGGCUUAAAGAGUUCGUAGGUGGUUGAAAAAGUUGGUGGUGAAAUCCCAGAGCUUAACUCUGGAACUGCCAUCAAAACUUUUCAGCUAGAGUAUGAUAGAGGAAAGCAGAAUUUCUAGUGUAGAGGUGAAAUUCGUAGAUAUUAGAAAGAAUACCAAUUGCGAAAGCAGCUUUCUGGAUCAUUACUGACACUGAGGACGAAAGCAUGGUAGCGAGAGGAUUAGAUACCUCGUAGUCAUGCCGA